rnacentral:pre_miRNA from 1 species
UCCUACGGAUAAGCACAGAAAGUGGUUUCUUGAGAUGGAGUCUACUCCUGGUGAAGAUGCUGUGAA